rnacentral:rRNA from 1 species
UGGGGAAUCUUAGACAAUGGGGGAAACCCUGAUCUAGCCAUGCCGCGUGAGCGAUGAAGGCCUUAGGGUUGUAAAGCUCUUUCAGCUGGGAAGAUAAUGACGGUACCAGCAGAAGAAGCCCCGGCUAACUCCGUGCCAGCAGCCGCGGUAAUACGGAGGGGGCUAGCGUUGUUCGGAAUUACUGGGCGUAAAGCGCACGUAGGCGGAUUAGUCAGUCAGAGGUGAAAUCCCAGGGCUCAACCCUGGAACUGCCUUUGAUACUGCUAGUCUUGAGGUCGAGAGAGGUGAGUGGAAUUCCGAGUGUAGAGGUGAAAUUCGUAGAUAUUCGGAGGAACACCAGUGGCGAAGGCGGCUCACUGGCUCGAUACUGACGCGGAGGUGCGAAAGCGUGGGGAGCAAACAGGAUUAGAUACCCCUGGUAGUCCACGCCGUAAACGAUGAAUGCCAGUCGUCGGGUUGCAUGCAAUUCGGUGACACACCUAACGGAUUAAGCAUUCCGCCUGGGGAGUACGGUCGCAAGAUUAAAACUCAAAUGAAUUGACGGGGUCAUAGCUGUUUCCUG